AACAAAUUAGUUGUACCCAUUACAUUUCGUCCUGAAGGAUUUGUAAGAUACUUUGAAGCUGCGUUUCUAGCCUAGGAAUGGGAAAGGAAGAUGAUGUCGGUGGUUGUGGUGGUGUUGUCUGUCCCAACUUCCAACUCAGAGACGGUAAUUGGACCAUUCUGGUUACGACCCUACGACUUACCAGUACAUGCCUUAUAUUGAAAUGGAAAAAUUUGAGUAUCCCAAGGCCAUGGGUUAGGCAGGGUUCUG
rnacentral:misc_RNA from 1 species